GAUCCUGGCUUAGGACGAACGCUGGCGGCGUGCCUAAUACAUGCAAGUCGAACGGCUUUUCUAUGGAAGCUUGCUUCCACUGGGAAGAUAGUGGCGAACGGGUGAGUAACACGUGGGUAACCUGCCCAUAAGAGGGGGGAUAACAUCCGGAAACGGGUGCUAAUACCGCAUAGUUUUCUUGAUCGCAUGAUUGAGAAAGGAAAGACGGCCUUUGUGCUGUCGCUUAUGGAUGGACCCGCGGCGUAUUAGUUAGUUGGUGAGGUAACGGCUCACCAAGACGAUGAUACGUAGCCGACCUGAGAGGGUGAUCGGCCACAUUGGGACUGAGACACGGCCCAAACUCCUACGGGAGGCAGCAGUAGGGAAUCUUCCGCAAUGGACGAAAGUCUGACGGAGCAACGCCGCGUGAGUGAAAGAAGGUUUUCGGAUCGUAAAACUCUGUUGUCAGAGAAGAACAAGUUGGAGAGUAACUGCUCCAGCCUUGACGGUAUCUGACCAGAAAGCCACGGCUAACUACGUGCCAGCCGCCGC
rnacentral:rRNA from 1 species